rnacentral:rRNA from 1 species
UACGUAGGGUGCGAGGGUUAAUCGGAAUUACUGGGCGUAAAGCGUGCGCAGGCGGCUUUGCAAGACAGAUGUGAAAUCCCCGGGCUCAACCUGGGAACUGCAUUUGUGACUGCAAGGCUAGAGUACGGCAGAGGGGGAUGGAAUUCCGCGUGUAGCAGUGAAAUGCGUAGAUAUGCGGAGGAACACCAAUGGCGAAGGCAAUCCCCUGGGCCUGUACUGACGCUCAUGCACGAAAGCGUGGGGAGCAAACAGG